ensembl:lncRNA Cebpa CCAAT/enhancer binding protein alpha
CAUAUGCAAACGGAGGACCUCAGACACAGAAAAUGCUGUUUUCAAGUGGAACCCAGCCCAGAGCAAACCUUACAAGUGGCUUCUCUCUGGUUUUAAAAAGACACCAAAAUUGAGUUUGAUAUGUUUAUAUUAUAGAUAUAAUACAUAGGACAUCUAGCAUGAAACUUUGUGUCCCCUCCCCCCAAAAAAAGAAGAGAAGGAAGCAGUCCACCCCUGCUUCCAGUGGCAGGGUUGUGUACAAAUUGGCUGGAGGUGGCCUUCUUUCCAGACCCAGAGCCAGGGCCUUUGGGGAUGGGGGUGGGUGGGUGGGGAAGCCAGUAUAAGUCUCAGCCGGAGGAAGGAAGCUAAGACCCACAACUACAUACACCCUUGGAAAACUAGGGGAGAGGGAGAAGCCCACUUCAUUUCAUUGGUCCUCUGGGAGGCGAAAGAAAACAAAACAAAACAAAACAAAACAAAAAAACCAAACAUCCCUAAACCAAAAAGAAUGAGAGCCUCACUCAGCCCCUUCCCCUGGCCGUUCGUGAAGAGUCUCAUUUUGGCAAGAAUCAGAGCAAAACCAAAACAAAACAAAAGACCAAAUAAAAUGGUGGUUUAGCAUAGACGCGCACACUGACAUUGCACAAGGCACCGCUGGGACACAGAGACCAGAUACAAGUGUUGAUAUCAGAUGAUAAAGCAAAAUAUUUGGGAAGCUUGUCAUAACUCCAGUCCCUCUGGGAUGGAUCGAUUAUGCUUCAAGUUCCUUCAGCAACAGCGGCUGGCGACAUACAGUACACACAAGGCGGAUGGUCCCAGUGUCUUCAUCCUCCACCCCAAGACCAGAAACUAAGGUCCCUGUCUUCUACCACUUGCUUAACCACAUGGCCAGUUCACAACUCAGCCUUCUGGUCUGACUGGGGGUGUUGCCCCCUUCUCCACGAACUCACCAAGGAAACCUGGCCUGUUGUAAGCUGGGGGUGGGGGGAGGAAUGUAGAUGGAGGAGCGAAAAGCAAGGGGCUAAGAACCCUCCAUCUCCAUGUAACUAGGGGUGGGGACACUUUUAAGACUCAAAUCCCCAACUCCCUAAGUCCCUCCCCUCUAAGGACAGGGACGGAGGGGCAGCUCAGGGACUGCUGGGACCUCAGCUUCCUGAAUCUUCCUCCUGCCCUGGGCCUGCACCCUUCAUUUUUCUCAUGGGGGCCUGCUGCAGCUCUGGAGGAAGCAGGAAUCCUCCAAAUAAAAUAUCAAGGCACAUGUUUGCUCCCCCUACUCGGUAGGAAAAGGAGCGAGUUUUGAGUAUCCAAGGCACAAGGUUACUUCCUUAAUACUAAAACUGCCGGGCUCCCAGCUCAGCUCCGCGGAGAAGUCUCUCGGUCUAAAGGAGAAACCACCACGGCCUGACUCCCUCUCAUCUUAGACGCACCGAGUCCGGCUCAGAGGAAGGGAGGGGACACGCGGAGCAGGCCAGGCUUUCAGGCGACACCAGAAUCUCCUAGUCCUGGCUUGCACGGUCCGGGCAGCCUAGAGAUCCAGCGACCCUAAACCAUCCUCCGGGUCCCCAGCCAGGGGGCCGGCUCAAGGCGGUCCCGCAGCCGCGCGCCUCACGCGCAGUUGCCCAUGGCCUUGACCAAGGAGCUCUCAGGCAGCUGGCGGAAGAUACCCCGCAGCGUGUCCAGUUCACGGCUCAGCUGUUCCACCCGCUUGCGCAGGCGGUCAUUGUCACUGGUCAACUCCAACACCUUCUGCUGCGUCUCCACGUUGCGCUGUUUGGCUUUAUCUCGGCUCUUGCGCACCGCGAUGUUGUUGCGUUCCCGCCGUACCCGGUACUCGUUGCUGUUCUUAUCCACCGACUUCUUGGCCUUGCCCGCGCCGGCCCCGCCGCCGCCGCCGCCGCCGGUGCGGAGGUCGGGGUGCGGACCAGCCAAGCCCUUGAGCGAGCCCCCGGGGCCCGGCAGGCCCGCAGCACCCAUUGCAGGCGCGGGAUGAGGGCUGGGCACGGGCGUCGGCGGCGGCGUAGGGUGGCCAGGCUGCAGGUGCAUGGUGGUCUGGCCGCAGUGUGCGAUCUGGAACUGCAAGUGAGGGGCGGCCAAGUGCGCGGGAGACGCGUGCGGGUGCGGUGGCGGCGGCGGCGGCGGGGGCUGAUAGGGGAAGAGGCCGGCCAGCGCCAGCUGCUUCGCCUCGUCCUCCUCGCGGGGCUCCUGCUUGAUCACCAGCGGCCGCAGCGCGGGCGCCCCGACGCGCUCGUACAGGGGCUCCAGCCUGCCGUCCAGGUAGCCGGCCGCCGCACAGCCGUAGCCGGGAGGGGGUCCGUGCGCCCCCGCGGACAUGACCGCACCGCCGGGGCCCGCCGGGGCGCCCGGGUAGUCAAAGUCACCGCCGCCACCCGCGGGGCCCGCCGCCGCCUUGGCCUUCUCCUGCUGCCGGCUGUGCUGGAAGAGGUCGGCCAGGAACUCGUCGUUGAAGGCGGCCGGGUCGAUGUAGGCGCUGAUGUCUAUAGACGUCUCGUGCUCGCAGAUGCCGCCCAGCGGCUCCGGGGCGGCAGGUGGGGCUGGGGGCGGCGCGGGGCCCGCGCCCCGGGGAAAGCCAAAGGCGGCGUUGCUGGGCGCGUGCGGGGGGCUCUGGAGGUGGCUGCUCAUCGGGGGCCGCGGCUCCGCCUCGUAGAAGUCGGCCGACUCCAUGGGGGAGUUAGAGUUCUCCCGGCAUGGCGAGCCUCGGCGGCCUCCAGCCUGCGCGUGGCGCCGCUGUCGCCGCCGCCCACCCAGUACCCCAACUCGCCCGCGCCCGCGCAGCUUUGGGUCGCGAAUGGCCAGGCCCGCGCGGGGACCGCUUUUAUAGAGGGUCGGGCAUCGCCCCCUGGUGUCCAAGCGGGUCUUGGGCGGAGGGCGCCUGCCGGAUGGUGCCUGCUGGGUCUUAGAGCCUGCCUUCUCUUGUGACUUUCCAAGGCGGUGAGUGGGGCGGGAGCACAGUGCUAGUGGAGAGAGAUCGUGGCGCAACGCC